rnacentral:rRNA from 1 species
UACAGAGGGGGGCAAGCGUUUGUUCGGAAUUACUGGGCGUAAAGGGUGCGCAGGCGGCCGUGUGUGUGAGGCGUGAAAGCCCGGGGCUUAACCCCGGAAUUGCACCUCAAACUACACGGCUAGAGCAUUGGAGAGGGUAGCAGAAUUCACGGUGUAGCAGUGAAAUGCGUAGAUAUCGUGAGGAAUACCAGAGGCGAAGGCGGCUACCUGGACAAUUGCUGACGCUCAGGCACGAAAGCGUGGGGAGCAAAAGGG